UUCAUAAUUUUGAGUGAAACCAACAAUAGCGGCUGUAAAUUUGUGUACAACACUACAAUGCAAUAUGCGUAAUAAAUGGUAUAUUGGUAUGUGCUUACAUUUUCUGAACGGAAAAAAAUAACGAUUUCCAAAUAUGGUAAUUACAAUUUACAGUCAUGACAUUAAUACGGUUAUAUGGCAUACGGGUAUUUUUAGUCAUCGUUUUUUUUCGUAGCGUUUAUAAUUGCACAUCGGAAACAAUACGAAAACAUUCAAGAGCCGCCGAAGCAGUAGUUUUUAGUAUUGAGAAAACCGAUUGAGAAUUGAGAACACGAUUGGCAAAUGGCAAUAAUCACAACGGUUACCACAACUGAUAAGUCACAGAUGAAUCUGACGCCCCAAUUGUGGGGACGACCAAGAAAUUUUACAAGAAGUCUCUUCUCAAAGUUUUGAAGCUAUAGGGGUCCUGGGUCUAUGUAAUGCAUUUGCUGUUUACCGUAGGUAGUAUGCCUACCUGAUAUGCAGUGGCGUAGGCGCAGGGCCGGCGCUAGAAGUAUUGGCACCCUGAGAGAAACUAUUUUUUGGCGCCUUUAACACCCUCCCCCUAGUUGAUAAUAGUAAUAAUAAUAUAAUAUAAUUUUAUUAUAAAUAGUCAAUAGACCGCACGAAUUAUUGUGCGAUAGAAAUCAUCACAUACUCAAUAUUAUAGUAUAAUAAAGCCACAACAGCCGUCGCUGCCGAAAGUAUUAUAUAGGCUGCCGUCCGAAUUGUACGACACGACGAAAAUAAUAUCGAAUAUGAUAUUAUAAUAUUUAUAGAUACUGCGAAAACAUGUUUAAGUGUUUUCAUAAUAAUA